GCGGAUUCAAACAUCUAGGCUUGUGCGUCAUUUUCACUUAACAUAGACUAAAGAGUGACAAUACUUUUGGUGAAGGGGUUGAAAAAUCGCCUAAGACCCAGGAAGUCUACCUCCCCUGAGGACAGCUCGUAACCGACUCCUGAGAUAGACCUGGAUCUCUUCCCCGUCUCAGCCGCUCAUCAGAAACCCGCAGACCAACAGCAAUCUGCCGCACAGCAGCCUGCCCAUCUAUAUCAAGAGACCCAAGACCAACUGGCUGCAGCAGCAGAGCCCGUCACACAGAGCCCGGUGACCGCCCACCUCCACACCAGGCGGGUACAGCCGAGGCAUUAUAACUGGACAGACAACGCCGAUUAUCGCAGCCAUGUAAAGGGACUGUGUGGCAGAAUGAGAGACAGUUUCCCUAGCCCCUGAUCAUUGGGCAAAAGACUGUACCGAACCAAGAAAGAGACCGGGACCCACUGGAUACACACGCGGUGAGAGCAGCACUUCCACAGCCAACAGAG